GGACUACCGGGGUAUCUAAUCCUGUUUGCUCCCCACGCUGUCGCGCCUCAGUGUCAGCCACUGCCCAGCCGGCCGCCUUCGCCACUGGUGUUCCUCCGGAUCUCUACGCAUUCCACCGCUACACCCGGAAUUCCACCGGCCUCUACAGUGCUCGAGCUUUGCAGUCCGCACGGCCGAUCCGGGGUUGAGCCCCGGACUUUCACCGCCCGCUUACAAAGCCACCUACGCGCCCUUUACGCCCAGUGAUUCCGGACAACGCUCGCACCCUCCGUAUUACCGCGGCGGCUGGCAC
rnacentral:rRNA from 1 species